rnacentral:rRNA from 1 species
UACGUAGGGGGCAAGCGUUGUCCGGAUUUAUUGGGCGUAAAGAGCGUGUAGGCGGUUUGGUAGGUCCGCUGUGAAAACUCGAGGCUCAACCUCGAGACGCCGGUGGAAACCAUCAGACUAGAGUCCGGAAGAGGAGAGUGGAAUUCCUGGUGUAGCGGUGAAAUGCGCAGAUAUCAGGAGGAACACCGGUGGCGAAGGCGGUUCUCUGGGCCGUUACUGACGCUGAGGAGCGAAAGCGUGGGGAGCGAACAGG